rnacentral:rRNA from 1 species
UACGGGGGGGGGCAAGCGUUGUUCGGAAUUACUGGGCGUAAAGGGCGCGUAGGCGGCCUUCUAAGUCGGACGUGAAAUCCCUCGGCUUAACCGAGGAACUGCGUCCGAUACUGAAAGGCUUGAAUCCGGGAGAGGGAUGUGGAAUUCCAGGUGUAGCGGUGAAAUGCGUAGAUAUCUGGAGGAACACCGGUGGCGAAGGCGGCAUCCUGGACCGGCAUUGACGCUGAGGCGCGAAAAGCUAGGGGGAGCAAACGGG